rnacentral:rRNA from 1 species
ACGGUCAAAUCACGCUGAAAACACCGGUUCUCGUUCGAUCACCGAAGUUAAGCAUCGUAGAGCCAGGUCAUACUUAGAUGGGGGACCGCUUCUAACACCUGGUACUGUAAG